rnacentral:lncRNA from 1 species
AUGCCUAAGAGGGUUUCCCAAAUUUGGAAUAUGGUUAAAAGAUAUAAAGAGGCUCAGGAAGAAACAAAAAACUCUUACUAGAACCAUCUCAGACCAAAUAUUAAGAAAAUUGCAAAUGGCAAGUUCAACAAAGCAGGCCACAAAAUUUUUUCCAGAAUAAACUACUGAAUAUUCAGAUAGUUUAAACUAGUUUUUAGCAUUGAUGGGAAUUGAAGUAAUAACCACAGGAGAGAAAAUCAGAACAGCAAACAACCUGAUCGUGCUGAUUCUUUUUUUGCAUUUCAGUCAUGGACUUUCUGUUUUUCUUUGCUUCGAUGUACUGUACAACCUUAUAACUGAUGUAUAUACUGCUUACUAUUUCUAAGUAAUGAGGCCCCAUAACUGACGCAUUUGACAGCCCUCUUCUUGCUUGAUGGCAAAGGCCAUGGGUCACACAUCCACUAUUCACAGUUGCCAUUUGAAUCAGAACAUGCAGUCAAUCCUGUGAAGUUGGAACCAUUUAGAAACAAGCAAACAUCCACGAACAUUUUGCAAGUAAGAACACAGUGCAAAGGGUAAAUUGUCUAUGUAAAAUUAGCUCUGCCAUUUCGUAGCUGUAUAACUACCCCAUUCACACAUAUCAACUAUGAUAUGGUAUUCAUCCCUGCUAGACGACGCUUUUCAACUAUUCAUCAUCUUAAAGCACGAAAAAAAAAUAUAUUCAACAAUCUUCAGCAACCAUACUC